CAAUGAAUUAAGUUUAUUUGGGCAACUUUAGAGACACUUUCCCCCCUAAAUAUUGCUUUCUUUAUGUCUUUAUGUCUCUGCUGGUUACUAAUGGGUGUGUGUUUAAGAAGAGGAGGUAAACUCAUAUCACUCACAGUUCAGAGCAAAUGUAGAAAAGCCUGCAAACUUGUUUCUAUUUAACACCAUCAAGCAGUUUUCUUUCUUAAAGGUUAAUUUUUAAGAGCAAAUUUAUCAAUAUUUUAAGACUUAAAUACACUAAAAUGAACAUGCACAGGUUUUACGUUGGUGUACUCUCACCGGCGUUGACCUCUGGUUGCUUAGAAACGUCUGAAACCAAACAGUGACAUUAACCUUAUAGGAAAUGCUGACUCAACAUAACUUCAGUCGGUGUAGAAACUGAAACUGACUCAGAAGUGGAGCUGAAGGAGGGAGUUAAAGGUGCAGUCCGCAGAUUUAGGAAAUGCAUGUUAAAAUGACCUGAAUAUAAAACAUGUUAAUUAUAAGUUUAAGUGAAUGAAGACAAAAAGACUUGUUUAGUUUUGAGUUUUUGCAGUUUAAGUCUAACAUACUGUUCCAGACUAAUAAAACAAAUCACUUUAAAGUCGAUAAAACUGUUUCAUGCUCCCCCCCAUGAGGGUCUCAAGACCGUGGUUUGAGGUUUGAGGUUUACUGAGGAUAAGCUUGUUUCCCUCAAAUGCACCUUUCCAGUCCAGGUGAGCACUCUAUUCAAGGCCUGUAAUUGGAAAAGAUCCUCCCAUUUCAGACCUAAAAAAAGACGGUGAUUUAGUGGGUACAUAGAUUUUUCAAGAGGAGUUAUUCUGAACCCUGAGUGGGACCGACAUGAUAGUGGGAGACGGACCGAGACACGACAAACACCCAGAAGGACGGAAGAGAGAGUCAGAAACAUGAGUCAGCAUCAACAUGUUCGACAGUCUGCAUCUGUGGCCUAGUUGGCAGAGCGAGAAAAACUGUGAAAACGGUCAAUAAAACAGGCCCCAGUGUGUGUGUGUGUGUGUGUGUGUGUGUGUGUGGACAAAAAAAGUACAAUGGGAAGAAGACGGAGGUGAAGAUUGGGAUGGAUGAAGAGGAGAGAGACAACGAUGGAGGAGGAAAGAUGGAAGAAAAGUAGUGGCAGGUAUAUAUCUGUCCGUAUUAAAGCUCUUGUAAGGAACAUUUAUGCUGACGCCCCCCUGUGGACAAAACUGGCUUUGCUUAUCUUGCUCUCUACAUGUUUUGAUAAUUAAUUUUGAUUAAAAAAAUCAAAU